UGUAUUGAUAAACAAAAUAUUGAAGAGCAAUUUGUCUUUUGGAUAGAACUGUGGGCUGAAGAGAUUGGGGUACCUUGUGAGGAUCCAGCGACGAGUGACUAAUCUGCCUUUGUACGCUGGCCAAUAGUACCGAUGGCAAUCACUGGAUAAUAAAGUGGAUGAACUAAAAGCACGUAUAUCCUACCAACGGGACAUUAAAAACUGUAUGACAACAUGAAUAACAUACAGCUGGCGGGUUAUACACUGUAUCGGCAGGAUAGAACAGCAGCCUCUGGUAAUACAAGGGGUGUCAGUCUAUGUAUAUUUGGAAACAACAGCCGGUGCACGAUAUCUCUAGGUUUUUCUCGCAUGAGGUAGAGUAUCUCAUGAUGAGCUGUAGACCACACUAUCUACCUCAAGAGUUUUCAUCUGUUCUUUGGCACUGUCUAUUUACCACCACAAACCGAUGCUGGCACUAAGACCGCACUCAAUGAGCUGUAUACGGCCGUAAGCAAACAAGAAAAUGCUCAUCCAGAGGCGACGCUCCUUGUGGCCGGGGAAUUUAAUGCAGGGUAAUGUAAAUCCUUUUUAAUCAAAUUUCAACCAGCAUGUUAAACGUGCAGCCAGAGGGGAAAAAACUCUAGACCACCUUUACUCCACACGCACAGUGUCACGCAUACUCCCUCUCUGGUCUCUAGGUCAUCAGGCUGCAGAUUAUCAGGCAUACCUGCCACCAUCGUCUCGCUCACCAGUGCCUCAUGACACUCACCUGGACUCCAUCACCUCCUUGAUUAUCUUCCCUGUAUCUGUCACUCCCCUUGGUUCCUUCCCCAGGCCAUUGUUUCUGUUUCAUGUCUGUGUGCUGUUAGUGUUCCUUGUUUUGUAUUAUGUUCUGUUUAUUUUAUUAAAACACUCCCUGAACUUGCUUCCCAACUCUUGGCACACUUGUUACAGAAUAACACCUCACCUAAGGGAAGCAUCAGGGAGUGUUUUUUGUUUUUGAGUAAAUGACGUCGGAUCCGGGAACUGCUACAGACUCUCAUGCCUCAACCAGAUCAGAUCGCCAGGCUCCCCUGCCUCAGGAGGCCCGUUGGGCUUUCAUGCCUCAGCCGGAUUGCCAGGCUCCCGCGCCUCAGCUGACUCGACAGGUUCCCGUGCAUCAGCUGGCGUGACAGGUUCCCGUGCAUCAGCUGGUGUGACAGGUUCCCGUGCAUCAGCUGGCGUGACCGGUUCGCUCCUGAUCCCCGGGUUCAUCCCCUUUGAUGGCAUCCUGCAUAGAGCCGCGCACCGAGGAGAGAUCUCCUCAAUUUAAGGCAUACAGACGAGGAGGCAUACAAAGGUAUGUUAAUUGAUUCACAGGUUUCUCCCUCCCUACACAUCUGAUGAAUAUACCAGGAAACCUGUUUGAUCACCAUGCACUGCAAAAUCCUUCUGGCUAUGGAUACGGAGAACAUCAGCACAUUAACAUCAUUACGCCAGAAGAUAUACCCAUUGGACUCUGCUGAGAGUUGACCUCAUAUUUGGAUAUGUUAUUCUGCUUUGCCAUUAAAAUCAUAAUAAACACUGACAACUAAAAUAUUGUGUUAUUGUUAUGCGCAUUAUUAAUAAUAUUAAUUAUAAUAAUAGGAGAGGGGUAGU